UUAACGUUCUUCUUAAAUCCAGGUUCCUCCCGAGGAGAAGUCCGCCCAGUGGAAGGAUCUGGAAGCUUCUCUAGCUGAGAGGACCAGCGCUGUGACUGCUGCUGAAACAGCCUUGUCCAAUGCCAAUGAAGCCUUGCACAGUCUGAAGGCGGUGAUUGACAGCUCUAAGGGGCUGAAGGUGGCUGCUGUGCGCCCCCUGGUUCUAGCA